UAACAAGGAUUCCCCUAGUAACGGCGAGCGAAGCGGGAAGAGCUCAAAUUUGAAAGCUGGCGUCUUCGGCGUCCGCGUUGUAAUCUCGAGACGUGUUUUCCGUGCGGCUCUAUGGACAAGUCCCUUGGAACAGGGCAUCGUAGAGGGUGAAAAUCCCGUACUUGCCAUGGAAGUACCGUGCUUUGUGAUACACGCUCCAAGAGUCGAGUAGUUUGGGAUUGCUGCUCAAAGUGGGUGGUAGACUCCAUCUAAAGCUAAAUAUCGGGGAGAGACCGAUAGCGAACAAGUACCGUGAGGGAAAGAUGAAAAGCACUUUGGAAAGAGAGUUAAAAGUACGUGAAAUUGUCGAAAGGGAAGCACUUGAAGUCAGCCAUGCUGCUUGAGACUCAGCCUGGCUUUUGCUUGGUGUAUUUCUCGGUAGCAAGCCAGCAUUGGUUUGUGUCGUCGGAGAAGCGUAUGGGGAAUGUGGCAUCCUCGGAUGUGUUAUAGCCCUGUGCAGGAUACGACGACGUAGACCAAGGAACGCAGUGUGCCCUCUGGGCGGGUCUUCGGACACCUUCACACUUAGGAUGCUGGCGUAAAAU
rnacentral:rRNA from 1 species